UUCACUUCUGCAGAGAAUAUGAUUUUCUUUUCAAAUCAAAUUUAUUUAUGCUUUGCAAUGCUGUUGUUUUAAAAUGAGAUAUAUAUAUUUUUAAGAAAUCUAUUUGCAAAUAUCAGUGCUUCAAAUUAUUAAAUGAACCAUUUGGUAAAAAAUCUGCUCCUCUAUUUCACGUUUGUUGAUACUGAGCCAUGCAAGUUUAACUAGUUCUUCACUCUUAUUCUUAGUUCAGUUGUGAUUAGCUGUGUCUGGAGUCCCUCACACUAGGAUGUGGUAAACUUCAGUUUGCAAGUUUUUGUGUAGAAAGAUUUGGACUUGAAUAUGCUUAAUGUCACAGUGGCUAAAUCAAAUUGGAAAUUAAAGUGAGACUUUCUAUGAUGUUAUUCUUUAAAUAAUUGUAUGUUUUGCAUAACAUUUUCUACUUACAUUAAUCAGUAAGUGCAAAUACGAAAUAGAGUUUGAGUCCAGAGAAGGGAAAGAAGGAGCAAUGAGGAGCUAAAAGAGAUUGCUCCUUCAAAAUUAUCUUCUAAAAUCGAUCUCGUCACAGACUGUGAAACACCAUUACUCGUUCUUUUGGCAAGAUCACUGUGGGCAAGCUGAAAACAAACAAAAGCUAUUCAUUUAUCAAAGUCCUUUCUUUCUGCCUAGGUCUUGUUCUUUGACAUAGAUACAAAGUGCCACUUCCUAACACUAGAUGACUGUCCAGCAAGAUUGUUUCCAAAGUUCUAAGGACCAUGUUAAUACAGUAUGUGGUGAUUAAUGCCUACAUGAACCAAACCAGGAAAUUCAAAGACUGACAAUUGGCAAGAAUUGUGAAGCCUCCACUCAUUCUAAUAAAAUCCCCAUUGAAAAGUUAAAAACCAACCAACCAACCAACCAAACCUCUUGCAGAAUUCUUCCUUCCCAGAUAGUGGAAGAAGAACGUGAACAUCUGCAAUCCACCUUCUCCUGGGGAACAGACUGUGCACCGAAGGCUGGAAUCACUGAAUCAAAGCUGAACCAAG
rnacentral:lncRNA from 1 species